AUUCUUUGAUCAUAAAUGAUAUCCCUUCUGAAAAGAAGCUUUUGACUCCCAUGCUCUGAGAUUCAUAUACUGUAAUCAGAAAGUCCUUUGUAAGCAGUUUUGACUUCAGAUUAUAAUAGCACAAAGGAAACCGAAGAGCUGUCUGAACUGUGCAUGAGGCUAAUUCCCACAGAGUGUGGCUCAACCUUGGCCUUGUUGGACCCUCUAAUAUUGACAGCACAAUUCAGUUUCUCUUCUGACUUUGUAACUGGCAGCAUCUGAAGCCACAAGAGUGCCAGUGAGUGGUGGUGGUGUUUUUUGUGACAGAAGAUCUUGGACACAAUGCUUCAGUACUUGUUAGAAUUUGUUUUUGAAGAACAUCUUCCCCAGAGGUUUCUACAAUAUGGCGUUCUUAGAAAGUGCCUAGUGCAAAACCCAGUGAAGUCAAUGUGGAAUCUAGCCAGCUCUGACAACAUACUGAAAUGUGAUGAAGGCAGGAGCAAGGAGCAUGGAGCACAGACAGGCACCUGUGAUUAAGUUAAAUGCUAUAUUAAUAGUAAUGUGGAAGUAACACAGAUGCAGUAUUAUUUGUAUUGGGGUAUUACAUAGCCCUAGUCAUGGACUGGUGCCCCAUUAUGCUAGCCACUGUACAAUGACAAAACAAAAAGAUGGUCCCUGCCUCAGAGACAGUUGGUACUCCUUCUAGAUAUAGCAAGACUGAAAGUAUUAGGUUUAAGUGACUUCAAGGACCAAGCAGGCCCUGUGAUGCCAGUCUCAAAUUUGUAGAGCCCUAUGUGGAUACAAAAUGUAUAUCCAUGGAUGAGGAUACCUACCGGGAACCGCAGUGGCGAAAGCAGCUGCUCCCAGGAUCCAGUGCCCCAUACCGGCAGCUCCUCUGGAGUGGCUGUACUACCCUCAGUCCCACUCACUGCACUAGCACAACCAGGGACAGCCCACCCCAGUGGGCGGGGCUGGGGCAGCAACACUGGAGGAGCUACAGGCAAGGGACAUUGGCUUCUGGGAACGGCAGCUCAUCAGGCUGCUGCUUUCGCCACUGCAGUUCCCAAAAGAGUCCUGCAGCUCCAUGGAUACUGAUUUAUAUCCACAUCCACAGAUAUAAAUUGUGCAUCUGUGCAGGGCUCUACAAAUUUUCUCUUUACUAAUCCAAAAACUUGGUUAUGACAAAAUCUGCAAAAGAAUCUCUACCUCCAUUUUCACUAGUUUCAUUAUACAUCCAUGCUCCUGGGUAGCCAUGUUUUUGUUCCUUCCUGUAUAAUGACGUUAGUUACAAUUAAAGUCCCAUUAUCACAGAGAUUUGACUUUACUGUUAGCAUUUCCAGCUUAGCGGAACAAACUGGAAAGACAUGUUAGAUAACUUCUGACAAAGCAGUCUGAAGAAUUCAGUCUUUGAACCAACAGAGAAUCGUUUUGUAAUUCGUUACCUCUUUAUCAGACAGAAAAUGGCUUUUUUGGCAAAACAUAUUUAAGUCACAUUUUCUUCUCAGAAUGAAUUAAAUCCCUUUAACUACUUGAAUACUAUGCUAUUGGGGUAUGCUGAGAAUAUGUAUACAAAGGUACAAUCCAUUUUGAACAUGGAAUGUUAAAGAUAUUGACCAGGGCGUAUCGUGUUCAUAGAAAGUAAACUCUACAUGAUGCCUUCUCUCCAAUCAACCUGACUUUUGAGUCACAAAAGUUAUACCAGUAACCAGACUUCUCAAGUUCAGGGGAAUUCAGAUUUAGAGCUUUGGAUCUGAGAAAAAUGGGCAGUACACAUUUAUGUAGUUAUAUUUUGCACCUCUCUACGUUUAAAGUUACUCAUCUCUCAAAUGGGGUUAAUUCCUUACCUGCCACAAAGGAAUAUUGUGAGGAUUAAUAGAUACUGUUUUGUACCAUGAUUUGAGGAUGCAAUGUGUUAGAUAAUGCUUAGUAAUAUUAGUUAAUAUUGUUUUGCAGCGCUAUAUGGCUAAAGUUAGGAGCAGGUAAAAAUGGAUGGGGGACACUAUGAAUGUAGGACCAGAUUCUGACUGGCCUCUGCAUGGGGCCUCUUUUCCCUUUGUAGGCACCACACAAGGGACUAUCACAGUUGCACUCCCAGAACUUAGGGGUAAUGUGAAGACCACUUUCUCCAUCUGCCCAUGGGCUACAUGUUACCCCAAAGGAGGGAUAGGAGAGAGUGAAGGCUAUGGCCCUACCCCUCCCUCCACAUUAGUCCAUGAAGGGACCCUCUGAGGCAAAACCCCUCACUUAUUUCUCUUGAGGCAGUGCCAAUACUUACUUAUACUCAGGGCUAAAUGGCACAAGUUAGACCAUAAGAUAUAUCCAUUAAGAAGCAGAAGAUCUAUUUUCCCCUCAGUAGUAUUAUUUGCCUACAUGCACUCUCUAUAUUCAUUUGACAACAAGGAUCAGGGACUGCAUCUUUAGUGUGUAACAUUUUAAAAAGUGUAUUUGGAGAGUUGUUAGCAUCUGUUGUUCUCCCUAAUUUUUAACUCUGGAUGGCGAACAUUUUAAGACUACAGGCAACCCCAAGGCUAUGUUUCCAUUGGUAAUUCUGCAUAUUUUUACUUAUCAGUAUGUAAUAAUGUUCAGAUUUAAAGCAAAUGGAACUUUGUUUUUUUUGCUAUUUCAAAUGUAAACCAAUUAUGCCAGUAAAAAUGUUAGCUACGCAAUUAUAAUUUAUUUCAAAAAGUGUAUCAGAGGAAGAUACAUUCAUGAAAUGCCCCAUGAAAUCCAAAUGUACAUGCACACAGAACAUCUGAAUUUUAAACCCUUGCCUAUAUUUGGAUGUAACUCUGAUUCCUAUUAUAAACUGUCAGUACUAUAGUACAUGUUUAACCUUGAACAACCAUCAAGGGAAUGCGUUUAACAAAUGUAGGAUCCCAGCACUAUAACCAACAUUGUAAAAUAUGGUUUAUUAUUUUAUGAAACUAUGGGCUUU